rnacentral:rRNA from 1 species
UACGUAGGUGGCAAGCGUUGUCCGGAUUUACUGGGCGUAAAGAGCGCGCAGGCGGUCGUUCAAGUCGCGUGUGAAAGCCCCCGGCUCAACUGGGGAGGGUCACGCGAUACUGAUCGACUCGAAGGCAGGAGAGGGUAGUGGAAUUCCCGGUGUAGUGGUGAAAUGCGCAGAUAUCAGGAGGAACACCGAUGGCGAAGGCAGGUCUCUGGGCCAUAACUGACGCUGAGAAGCGAAAGCAUGGGGAGCGAACAGG